CCUACGGGAGGCAGCAGUAGGGAAUAUUGGACAAUGGGUGCGAGCCUGAUCCAGCCAUGCCGCGUGCAGGAAGAAGGCCUUCUGGGUUGUAAACUGCUUUUGCCGGGGGAUAAAAGACCCAUGCGUGGGGAAUUGAAGGUACCCGGUGAAUAAGCCACGGCUAACUACGUGCCAGCAGCCGCGGUAAUACGUAGGAGGCGAGCGUUGUCCGGAUUUAUUGGGUUUAAAGGGUGCGUAGGCGGCCCCGUAAGUCAGUGGUGAAAUACGGCAGCUCAACUGUCGAGGUGCCAUUGAUACUGCGGGGCUUGAGUACAGUCGAGGUAGGCGGAAUUGACGGUGUAGCGGUGAAAUGCUUAGAUAUCGUCAAGAACACCGAUAGCGAAGGCAGCUUGCUAGGCUGUAACUGACGCUGAGGCACGAAAGUGCGGGGAUCAAACAGGAUUAGAUACCCUGGUAGUCCGCACAGUAAACGAUGGUCACUCGGUGUUGGCGGUACACGGCCAGCGCCUUAGCGAAAGCGUUAAGUGACCCACCUGGGGAGUACGCCCGCAAGGGUGAACUCAAAUGAAUUGACGG
rnacentral:rRNA from 1 species